rnacentral:lncRNA from 1 species
CUUCACUUCACCCACCCCACUCCCAUGGUCAUACCCCUAAAUAUCAACCACAAGCAUCGCCACCUAACACCGUCACAACAUUCGACACCAUUGUCGGCAUCAAACCAAGGGAGCUACAAGUACUUGCAUUUUGCAUUCCAAGCACUAUGCAUCUUUUUCAGAAAACCGAUUGAAACCUGAAUCCCCAAUUUUAAGAACCCUCAAACUAAAAAAAUCAUCGUCUUUUUUUAUUGUCUGUUGCAUUUUCUUCACUUCCCCCAACAAUGGCGGCAACAAACCUCCUCUCUCAAACCGCUACAAUCCAUCCCACAAAAUCAAUGAAAUCCCCAUUUACUUGGUUUCCCAUAAAACCCAUUUCAUCCUUCAUACUCAAGCCUACUUCAAGAAUCGCCUCUCUGUGCACACAGAUCGUUUUGUCCCCCGUCAAGCCCACAACUCAGAAUUUCCAGCGUUGUUUCAUGAAUCUAAAGAUGGGUAUUUUUAUUGUGAGGGAAAUAAAGUUCAGGUGGGAGAUUCUUUAUGUUGGAAAAGUAAAAAUUCUAGUGGAGUUAGAGAGAGAAUGAAGGCCUUGAUCAUUAAAUUAUUUUAUUUAUAUAAUAGCAAAUGGAGUAGAUUUUUUGUGCUAUUGUUUGAGAUGUUGGUUUUGGUUUGCAAUGGUGGCUGGUGAUGUCCAGAAGUAGCGGGUGGUGGUCGACGAGUUGUUUUUGGUUUUGGUUUGGAGGUGGAUGGAGUGUGAGGUGGGUGAGAUCUAGAAGAAUAUGAUUUUUUUUUUCUUUUCUCUUUUAUUUUAUUUAGUUUUUUUAUUUAUUU